GUGCAGCAGUCGAGAAAACUUUACAAUGUGCGAAAGCACGAUAAGGGAACUCUGAGUGCCUCCUAAGGAGGCUGUUCAGGUGUCUAAAAAGCACCUGGAGUAAGGGCUGGGUAAGACCGGUGCCAGCCGCCGCGGUAACACCGGCAGCCCAGGUGGUAGCCACUUUUAUUGGGUCUAAAGCGUCCGUAGCCGGUUGAGUAAGUUCCUUGGGAAAUUUGGCUGCUCAACAGUCAAGCUUCCAGGGAAUACUGCUCGACUUGGGACUGGGAGAGGUCAGAGGUACUCCAGGGGUAGGGGUGAAAUCCAUUAAUCCCUGGGGGACCACCGGUAGCGAAGGCGUCUGACCAGACCAGGUCCGACGGUGAGGGACGAAGGCUAGGGUCGCGAACCGGAUUAGAUACCCCCGUAGU
rnacentral:rRNA from 1 species